UUCCUGUUCUCAGCUUCCGUCCUCUCAGCUUCCAUACAGCAACCCCACCUGCCGGAGCCUCGCCUCACUAGGCUCUGCCUGGCCUUGCCUGGCCCUCAGUCCCUCUGGCUGCAGAAGUCUCCUUGCCCCCAUGCGAGGAGAGGUGGGGCCAGUCUCUGGAGAGCCAAGAGUUGAGGGCACUGAGCCAACACAGUCUCCUGCCCUCUGCUCCCCCAAGGCACCUGUACCCUCUAUGAGGAGCCAAGAUGGGGAACAGAGCCGAGGAAGAUUAUAACUUUGUCUUCAAAGUGGUGCUGAUCGGCGAGUCUGGUGUGGGGAAGACCAACCUGCUGUCCCGCUUCACACGCAAUGAGUUCAGCCACGACAGCCGCACCACCAUCGGGGUAGAGUUCUCCACCCGCACUGUGAUGCUGGGUACCGCUGCCAUCAAGGCCCAGAUUUGGGACACGGCUGGCCUGGAGCGCUACCGAGCCAUCACCUCGGCUCUCUGUCCACCCCCGCUCCCGCCCAGGUACUAUCGGGGAGCAGUGGGGGCCCUCCUCGUGUUUGACCUAACCAAACACCAGACCUAUGCCGUAGUGGAGCGCUGGCUGAAGGAGCUCUACGACCACGCCGAGGCCACUAUUGUUGUCAUGCUCGUGGGAAACAAAAGUGACCUCAGCCAGGCCCGCGAAGUGCCUACUGAUGAGGCCCGGAUGUUUGCCGAAAACAAUGGGCUGCUAUUCCUGGAGACCUCGGCUCUGGACUCUACCAAUGUCGAACUGGCCUUCGAGACCGUCCUCAAAGGUUAGAGGCUGCCUCAGUUUGUCCCAACUUCCCCCUUCUGUCCCCAUGGCUUCAGAGGGCAGCAGUAGGCAUGGAGACACCCAGUCCUCACCCCAGGCCCCCCCGCUCAGCAGCCUGCACUUAGGGGAAGACCACACUUUCCAGGGGCCUUCUCCACUCAGAGAUCUUUGCGAAGGUAUCCAAGCAGAGGCAGAACAGCACCCGGAGCAUUCCCAUCACCCUGGGCAAUGCCCAGGCUGGGCAGGACCCCAGCCCUGGAGAGAAGAGGCCCUGUUGCAUCAACCUUUGACCCUGGCCAUGGCCUCCUGGUGCCACACCCUCACCCCCGGUCCAGGACCUUUCCCUGCCCUUUGGUUCCCUGUUCACGGCCCCCCAGAGCCUCCAGGCCUUCGUGCCCACCACGCGUGUGUCCAUGGCCUGUCCACGGCCUGUCCACCCAUCACAGAUCAGGACUCUCAAAUAAAGCUGUUUUGUAGCAAUGCC